rnacentral:lncRNA from 1 species
GGGGUGCACUGGGGAAAAAAAAAUUUCUCUGAAAUCCCACAGAAUUUUUUCUCUGCCUGUUCUCCCGGUUUUUUUUAAUUUUUGUUUUUGGAAUUUUUUUUAUUGUUUUUUGGGUGUUUUUAAUAACGUUUUUUUUUUCCAAAGUAAAAAAAAAAUUUUUUGGGAGUAAGAAAAUUUUGGUGUUUUUGGGUGUUUUUUGCUUUUUUUAUGAAAAUUUAGGGCUUUUUUUACUUGAAAUGAGGGUAAUUUUUUAGGGGUCAAAUUUGUUUUUUUUUUGGAGGGGGGUUAUAGGUGUGUGAUAUUGUGU